rnacentral:rRNA from 1 species
GAUGAAUGCUGGCGGCGUGCCUAACACAUGCAAGUCGAGCGGCAGCGCGGAGAGUUUACUCUCUGGCGGCGAGCGGCGGACGGCUGAGUAACGCGUGGGAACGUGCCCCAAAGUGAGGAAUAACUGCCCGAAAGGGUGGCUAAUGCCGCAUAUGAUCUUCGGAUUAAAGGAUUUAUCCGCUUUGGGAGCGGCCCGCGUCGGAUUAGGUUGUUGGUGAGGUAAUGGCUCACCAAGCCGACGAUCCGUAGCUGGUCUGAGAGGAUGAUCAGCCAGACUGGGACUGAGACACGGCCCAGACUCCUACGGGAGGCAGCAGUGGGGAAUAUUGGACAAUGGGCGCAAGCCUGAUCCAGCAAUGCCGCGUGGGUGAAGAAGGUCUUCGGAUCGUAAAGCCCUUUCGACAGGGACGAUGAUGACGGUACCUGUAGAAGAAGCCCCGGCUAACUUCGUGCCAGCAGCCGCAGUAAUAC